GAUGAAGAACGUAGCGAAAUGCGAUAAGUAAUGUGAAUUGCAGAAUUCAGUGAAUCAUCGAAUCUUUGAACGCACAUUGCGCCCCCCAGUAUUCUGGCGGGCAUGCCUGUUCGAGCGUCAUUUCAACCAUCAAGCCCUGCUUGUGUUGGGGUCCUGCGGCUACCCGCAGGCCCUGAAAACCAGUGGCGGGCUCGCUAGUCACACCGAGCGCAGUAGCACAUCUCGCUCAGGGCGUGCGGCGGGCUCCAGCCGUUAAAGCACCCACCUUUCGCAAGGUUGACCUCGGAUCAGGUAGGAAUACCCGCUGAACUUAAGCAUAUCAAUAAGCGGAGGA
rnacentral:misc_RNA from 1 species